AGCGAAUUUCUUCUUGCUACCAGUCAUCGAGUCAUUGGUUUCCCGCUACCGCCAUGGGAUGGAUGUAGCUGCUUGUAACCAAGCUUCUUGGAGUAGCUCCAUAACUUGAUGGAGUCUACUGUAUCUCUCGGCAUGAUUCAAUAACAAUGACUCUCUCUCUGGCGAUAUCUAAAAACAUCAA